CGGAGGCCCAUGUUUCCGGUUUGAUGCCGAAGUGCAUAAUUGUUGGUAAACAAACAUGGUUGUUUAUAAACAAACUGUUUCGUCGACACUUUUCUGCUUCUUCUUCUUCAAUUCGACUCUCAAGCUCGAGUGUCAAAAUUACUUUGGUAAUAUGAAGAUUUUUUUCUUGACUGCUUUCCGUUCCAGGUGCAUACCAAACCUAAUAUGAAAGAUUUCCCCAGCGACUUCCACUGCAUUCAUGCAGUAGAACCUGCCCUCAGGUUGGAAAGUUUCCACUGAGUUUAAUAAGGAGUUUGACGUCAGGUGGUGAAUAUUCCCACUGAGUGCUAAUCCUUAACCCGCCCUCAGGUGGUGAUUGUUCCCACUGAGUAUAAAACUCAACAGAACAUAUUAUGGACGGACGGUUGAAGGGGUAAUUGUACCCCUAUUUAAAGGGGACGAAAAAUCUUUUCCGUUUUGGAGGAAACGGAUGGAACAGCACUUAAAAUACGAAGGACUAUUGCACACUCUGGAGAGAGUCCCUGCGGAAGAAGACUUUGCGCAGCCAGCUGCUAACGAGACAGCAGAUCAAGAAACUGCUCGCAAAGCUAAGUUAGAAAAACGCCUAAGAGAAGAUGACGCAGCCGUGAACGAAUUUUGGAUGGCACUGGACGAUGAUGCCAUGGGGCAAGUCUUCCAAUGCCAGUACGCAAAAGAAAUAAUGGAUCGCCUCGUCGAGCUGUACCAGAGCCAUGGCACGACAGCCAUGCUGGGCGUGCGUGCUCGCUUAUAUACUUUGCGCAUGGAAAACUCCGCAUCACUAAAGGAACUGUUCGCUCUCCACUCUGAACUGAUUCGCCAGUUGGGCAGUAUGGAAGAGGCCGUACCACAUAAAGAAGUGGUUGACACAUUAUUAGAGGCUAUUCCAGACAAGUUCAAGCACGUGUUGGGAGCACUGUCAGUGAUUAGGAAAGAAGAAUAAGUAUACCGGAUGACAAAGGAGCAGCUCCAGAGAAUCUUUCUCGACGCAGAAGAAAACGCAAAUCAAGCCGUCAGGUGAUCGGACAAAAGUGUGAACCGAGGAGGAAGCCAUCCAGUCGCAACGAUGGCCGUCUGCUUUGAAUGCAACCGGCCUGGCCACAAGCAACGCAACUACUUCGCCCGGCGUCGUCGCCUGGCGAUGGAGCGCAGAAUGGGAGCCGUGAACUUGAGGGACAACCGCGGUCCAGCUCCACGUGCCGCAGGAGCGGGAGGACGCGGUGGCAACGGCGAAGGACGGAACUAACGGAAACAACCGCCGGAUGGCUCUGCUCGCAAAUGCAGCAGGUGCACGCGCUGGUAAUCAAGCUGAAGGACGUUACCGGAACAACGCCAACGAGAGGGACGCGGUAGCACUGCUCGCAAGGCAAGAGGGGGCCUUUAUGGUGCAAAUCCCUUUGCCUGUGCAGGACGCAGGGGCUGCAGUGGCCGAAGAGUCAGCUGACGCCGUUCGCGAUCGACGGGUGCGCGAGAUGGACCUCGACAAGAUGCCAGUUCCGUUCCCGAUCAUACUUGAUUCAGGGGCAUCACGUCAUAUGGCGCAUGACAUUGAGCUGUUUAACCGCCUCUGGGACGCCCCGGAGCUACAGGUAGGAACAGCCAAAGAUGGGGAAGUGCUGAAGUGUUGCAAAAUGGAAAAUAUCAUACUGAGAAACAAUAAACGCCAGCGUUUGGAAGUUUACGAUGUGCUUUUCAUUUCUGACUUGAAUGUAAAUAUCCUUUCUGUGUCUCAAAUUGAAGAAGCAGGUUACUCGAUUCUGUUUGGCAAUGGUGGAGUCGAGAUCAGAGACAGAGAUGGCUUUGUAUUAGUAACAUGGAGGAGAGUCAAUGGGCUCUAUCACCUGGACCUGUAUCCGGACAGCGAAAGCGUGUGCUUGGGUAAGGUUUUUUAAAAGCAAAGGUUAUGGCACUGUAGGAUGGGACACUUGAAUGAAGCUUGUUUGUGGAAGAUGGUUAAACAGGGUAUGGUUGAGAGGUUGGAUCUAGAACCAUCAGCUAAGGGCCAAGAUCCAAUUGUUUGCGAGCCGUGUAUCAUGGGGAAACAGACUCGGGAAGCAUUUGACAAGUCGUUCAAGGUAAGGUCCGAUAGACCACUGGAAUCGGUCCACUCGGAUGUGUGCGGUCGGAUGGCCGAGUGUACCUAUGAUGGGCAUGAGUAUUUCGUGACAUUCAUAGAUGAUUACACCCAUUUUGUUAUUGUGUACUUGAUGAGGUACAAGAGUGAAGUCCUGGAUAAAUUCAAGCAUUUUGAAGCUUUGGCCACUGCCCAAUUUUCUGUGAACAUUUCUAGGUUACGAUCAGAUAAUGGAGGAGAGUAUUUCAGUAGAAAAUUCAAAGCUUUCUGUGAAGAAAAGGGAAUCCAAAUGUUGCCGACUGUACCCUACACUCCCCAGCAGAAUGGGGUGAAUAAGAGGAUGAAUCGGACAUUAAUGGAUAAAGUGAGAACCAUGAUGCAUGAAGGAAAUGUUCCUAAGGACUGUUCAAUUUAUAAAACGGACAACUUUGCAAGUCUAUAAAAAAAUGACGCCUAGUUCAAAUUUAACCACCCUUGUUUCGUUUUUCAGUACAUCAUCUAUCAUUAUGGUAAUAAUUUUUGAAUCGAAUAAAAAACGUUUUAUUUUAUAGAAAAUCGGCCAGAUGUAAAAUGAGGUGAAAUUUUUUAUUGCUGAAAAUUUGAAAAAUAAAUAAAAUUACUGUUCACAUAUGGUAUAUCGUUUUUAAUAUCAGAAAACUAAGUGCCAUGCUGCAGCAGCAUGAGUAAUAAACAUUCUGGCGAAAUUUAAACUCAAUUGGAAAAUUAGUUGUUGAGAUAUCAAAGUCUCAAGUCAGAUUCAAUUUUUUGAAUAAAAUUCAAUUGUUAAGCAAAAAGGGCAUGAAAAUAUUAAAUAGGGUAAGUGUACCAGUUAUGGCCAUUGUGCCAAUUAUUCGCCAAAGUUAAUUUUCACCCUUUAGCGAUGAAAAUCAACAAGAAAAAAAAUGUGAACAACAGAUCACGUUCACAAAACAUAGUCGCACUCAUUUAAUUUCCACAUUUUCCUCAAAUCGUGGUAAAUAAAUCAUUUUCCUUAAAAUUUCGGCUUCCUUGCAUCCUUUUUCGUCAUAGUGUACCAGUUAUGGCUAACCCCAUAAGGAAUGCAUGCAAAUAGUGCGAAAAGGAACCGAAGUUAAAAAAUGUAACCAUAACUGGUACAGGGUUCCUAUCACUGGCAUACGCUGUAAUCAAUACUAAAAGUAGUUUUGGCUCUAUUUCUAUAUUUUUCCUGUAAAGUAUGGAAACUAAGCUGUCUUUCAACUUAUUGAUGACAUUCGUUGGUCUUCUCGUUAUUUUUAUAUAAAUAGCUUUCCUUAGGUAGUGCCAUAAUUGGUACACGCACCCUAAACAAUUAUUUUAUGCACUCAGUCGAAAGUAGGAAUAAUGUGGUUUCAAAUGCGCUUUUUAAUAGCAUUGCUGGUUUGGAUACUGUGCGCCAUUGCAGGUACAGUAAUCAAAAAAGUUUCGUUCUUUGAAGGUUCUUCCAAAUAACAAUGCAACCUUAUGCAAAAUUUAGCAUAACAAUGAUGUUAGAAAUGAAAACUUUACAUCUAAUUAUUAUUAAACAAGGCAUACAAUAGCAUAGGACCAACUUUAUGGAAAAUAAAUAAUAACAAGAUUCGCUAGAGUCGAAAAACUGCAUCAAUGGAGCAAAAAGUAUGCAGUUUUUUACUAUGACCAUCUUUAUGGAUUACAUUUUUGGUGAAGAAUACAAUUUAAAGUAAAUUUUUCUUCUGUAUCAUUCAGAAAGCAAUAUUCUACUACUCUGGACAAAUUUUCAGCCGAAUCCGUUGUGCUUUUGCAACACAGGACUUGAAUAAAUAUUUUUUCAAUAAUUACUAUGAAAACAAGGCAACUCACUAUAUCAAGCUGGAGGCUGCCUUGUGCAUUAUUACUGACCAACUAUUGAGCCUUACCUUAAGAAGAAUAGUAUGAGAUUGCAAUACAUUGAAAACUUCACGAAAAUGUGCAUGUUAAAUAUGUGGAAAGUUAUAUCGAAUUUUGAGAAAUGGGUUUUUAUUGAUGCACGCAGAAAAAAGCAUGGUAAAAUCAAAAAUAUUCCAGGUAAACUCAAAUAAAUUGUCAAUUUGUUCUGGCAACAAAAAUAAAACUGUUUGAAGCAAAUAGAACGUCACAUUUGAAGCAAAUUCAAUCCAUUUUUGAAACAAACAUGUAUCUUCUGACUGGUUAUGUUAGAAACAAAUGUAUGUUUUUUUUUUGUGGCAGGUCGGCCUACGGAAAUAUUUGUUUUCCAAUUAUAUUUACAAAAUUAUUUCCUUCUCUAGGAAAAUCCACUUCCCGCGUCCCGCGUGGCACUUUCAAUGCCAACAUCAUGUAGAUAACAUACGCUCCCGAAAUCAAUGGGAUUUCGUGGAAACUUUUGGUGAAACUUGCCUUUUUUGCAAGAGGAAAACUUGUUUGGUGAUGCAGCUGGAACUUGAGAGUUUUGUUUAUGUUCUCGACGGCGGAUCGGGGGGCUCUUCAAUGGGUAUUGUAGAAAUCAAUAUGUAAUUGAGUUUGUUUUAAAAAUUAAUAUUUUAGUUUUAAAUAUUUUAUCAGUUUACUGAAUAAACAUGAAUAUUUUUGUUUCAAACGAACGAAAUUUGUCUCCGUGUGUUUUACGAAAACCGCUUCAGUUCCACAAUAAAGAACAUUUUACUCAAUGUUAUAUUUUUCCAUAGUGGAAGAAAUACCUAACGGGAGGAAGGCAAUGGAAGAUGACUCACCGCGAUACAAAGCUCGCCUUGUUGCAAAAGGUGGUUCGCAGCGUCCGGGAUUGGAUUAUGGCGAAACCUUUGCACCGGUGGCUAAAAUGACAACCAUACACGGAGACAAAUUUCGUUCGUUUGAAACAAAAAUAUUCAUGUUUAUUCAGUAAACUGAUAAAAUAUUUAAAACUAAAAUAUUAAUUUUUAAAACAAACUCAAUUACAUAUUGAUUUCUACAAUACCCAUUGAAGAGCCCCCCGUUCCGCCGUCGAGAACAUAAACAAAACUUUCAAGUUCCAGCUGCAUCACCAAACAAGUUUUCCUCUUGCAGAAAAGGCAAGUUUCACCAAAAGUUUCCACGAAAUCCCAUUGAUUUCGGGAGCAUAUGUUAUCUACAUGAUGUUGGCAUUGAAAGUGCCACGCGGGAAGUGGAUUUUCCUAGAGAAGGAAAUAAUUUUGUAAAUUUAAUUGGAAAAAAAAUAUUUCCGUAGGGCCGACCUGCCACAAAAAAAAACAAAAAUUUUUACAUUUGUUUCUAACAUAACCAGUCAGAAGAUACAUGUUUGUUUCAAAAAUGGAUUGAAUUUGCUUCAAAUGUGACGUUCGAUUUGCUCCAAACAGUUUUAUUUUUGUUGCCAGAACAAAUUGACAAUUUAUUUGAGUUUACCUGGAAUAUUUUUGAUUUUACCAUGCUUUUUUUUCUGUGUGAUAGAGUCGGUCAUGAUCAAUACAUUUUACCCAAGCAACCAUUAAGCCGUAAAAAUGGCAUUACGUCGGCUCUAUAGUCGAAUGUAGACCCUAUCUAACAGAGCUAAUUGGUUCUAUAUCCUCUUAUAAAGCUGCUCAAAAGCCACUUUUGGCGAAUUAUUCGGCUGAUAUACGGCCAACUUUGAAAUAUCGUACCAAGUCUCUGGAGAGAAAGUUGUCAAAAGUGAGACAAAGAAAAAAGAAAAAAAAGCGAGCUAAAACGAUCAUUUUCCUACAACGAUCUUAUAACAUAUUCGAUUUUUGCAAAAUAAGGGACGGCCUAUAGGCCUUUAUACACAUUAUAAUGUGUAUUGUCAAAAUCAAUAUGUAAAAGUUUUAAAAAUUAUUUUUUUGUUUUAAACAUUUUAUCAUUUUACCGAAUAAACAUUAAUAUUUUUGUUUCAAACGAAUGCAAUUUGUCUCCGUGCGCAAAUAUCCUUUAUGUUAAAUAACCGUUAUGUCAAAUGUAUUUAUGCCAAGUAACGUUAUGUGAAAUGUCCUACUCCCUUGCCUACUCCCUUUGUAUAGCCUUUGUAAUUUUAAGAUAACAUUAAAAUUAAAAUACCACUAAAUUU